UCACCCAUCUCGGUUAGCUCAGUUGGUUAGAUCGUUGUGCUGAUAACGCCAAGGUCACAGGUUUGAGCCCCGUGUGGGUGCA